rnacentral:rRNA from 1 species
UCAUAUGCUUGUCUCAAAGCUUAAGCCAUGCAAGUGUAAGUUCACGCCACGCAUUAGAACGGGCGAAACCGCGAAUGGCUCAGGAACCGGACCUAAUCCUCGGGACCGUAAUCCUCUUCGGAGGCGAUGGAUAACUGUGGCAAUUCUAGAGCUAAUACAUGUGAUACAGGCCGCGAUCGGUCGGCGCGUUGUCGUCGCCUCGCCUUCUUGCGCGCUGGCACCCGCGUCGGCCGUUACGGGUCGCGGCGCUACAUAUUAGACUGAGACCGAUGCGCGUACAUCCGUCCUCCUGUCGUGUCGUCGUGGCUGGCACUCGCUGUCGACCGCGGUGGCUGGCAGGGCUCAUAGGGCGGCGCGCUCCGCUUUGGUGACUCUGGAUAACUCACUGGUCGAUCGCACGGGCUCCCAUGCUCGGCGACGGGUCUCUCGAGGGUCCGCCCUAUCAACUGUCGACGGUCGGUUAAGUGCCUACCGUGGUUACUACGGGUAACGGGGAAUCGGGGUUCGAUUCCGGAGAGGGAGCAUGCGAAACGGCUACCACAUCCAAGGAAGGCAGCAGGCGCGCAAAUUACCCACUCCCGGCACGGGGAGGUAGUGACGAAAAAUAACGACGCGGGACUCUGUCGAGGCCCCGCGAUCGGAAUGAGUACACUUCAAAUCCGUUAACGAGGACCAACCGGAGGGCAAGUCUGGUGCCAGCAGCCGCGGUAAUUCCAGCUCCGGUAGCGUAUAUUAAAGUUGUUGCGGUUAAAAAGCUCGUAGUCCGAACUCGGGUUCGUGGUCGCGCAAGCGGCCCCGGGGCGGCGGCGCCAUCGUCCGUCGUUGACUUUGGUCGUCCGUUCGCAUUCCCGGCCCUUUCCGCCGGUGUCAACCGCUAGCAUAUCCGCCUUGUGGUCCUGCCGGCGAGGUGGACGAGGUGGUCGAGUCGGGAUCCGGGAGCGGUUCCGGGCGGGGGUCGUACCACGGGGUCGUAAGUGGUAGUUGCGUCGGCGUCGCUUCUUUACUCGAGGGGGCGAGAAUCGCGUGCGUUUACGCGUGCGUCGUUUUCUCCGUCUCCCCGCCGCGAGUAGUUCGUCGGUCGUUUCUGCCGCCCUUCCUCGCUUCGUCCCCCCUCUCCCUCCCCCUGGCCCACACCGAGUCCUUGCUUCGUGUCUGCGCGCGCUUGUUGCGGUCGGCGGUUUCUCCUCCAAGGGUGCUCUUAACCGAGUGUCCGCGGCGGCCGGUACGUUCACUUUGAAAAAAUUAGAGUGCUCAGAGCGGGCUGUUCAAGCUUGCAUACGAUAAGCAUGGAAUGAUGGAAGAGGGCCUCGUCUACGUCUGUCGGUCUCCGUCUACGGCGAGGCAAUGAUCGAAGGGAGCGGUCGGGGCCACUCGUAUUGCGACGUUAGAGGUGAAAUUCUUGGAUCGUCGCAAGACGAACUGCAGCGAUGGCGUGUGGCAAGCACGUUUUCCUCGAUCAAGAGCGAAAGUCGGAGGUUCGAAGACGAUCAGAUACCGUCGUAGUUCCGACCGUAAACGAUGCCGACCGGCGAUCCGCCGGCGUUCGCUUCCAUGACCCGGCGGGUAGCCUGCGGGAAACCAGAGUUCGGUUCCGGGGGGAGUAUGGUUGCAAAGCUGAAACUUAAAGGAAUUGACGGAAGGGCACCACCAGGAGUGGAGCCUGCGGCUUAAUUUGACUCAACACGGGAAAACUCACCCGGUCCGGACACCGGUAGGAUUGACAGAUCGAUAGCUCUUUCUCGAUUCGGUGGGUGGUGGUGCAUGGCCGUUCUUAGUUGGUGGAGCGAUCCGUCUGGUUGAUUCCGAUAACGAACGAGACUCCGGCCUGCUAACUAGUGCGCCGAUGUGUGUGAUUUUUACGGCGGGCUCGUCGGCGUCCAUCGUGGCGCCCGGGUCCGGGUCGGUUUUCUCACGCACUUCUUAGAGGGACGGGUGGCAGAAAGCCACACGAGGCGGAGCAAUAACAGGUCUGUGAUGCCCUUAGAUGUCCGGGGCCGCACGCGCGCUACACUGGAGGUAUCAGCGGGGACUUCGCCCCGGCCCGAGAGGGUUGGGAAACCUCUUAACCACCUCCCGUGAUAGGGAUCGGGGCCUGUAACCAACCCCGUGAACGAGGAAUUCCCGGUAGGCGCGGGUCAACAGCCCGCGUCGAUCACGUCCCUGCCCUUUGUACACACCGCCCGUCGCUACUACCGAUCGAACGGUCCGGUGAGGUCCUCGGAUCUGGCCGACGACGCCGCCGGGCAGUGUGCGUAGUGUCGGCAACGAUGCUCGUGCGUCUCCGCCUCGGCGUUCGAUGCCUGGAGAAGACGACCGAACCCGAUCGUUUAGAGGAAGUAAAAGUCGUAACAAGGUUUCC